GGGUGGCUAGCUCAGUCGGUAGAGCAUGAGACUCUUAAUCUGAGAAGGAACAUACCUCAGCAUAAUAAAAGCCACCCA
rnacentral:tRNA from 1 species